rnacentral:rRNA from 1 species
UACAGAGGUCCCAAGCGUUGUUCGGAUUCACUGGGCGUAAAGGGUGCGUAGGCGGUCGGGUAAGUCUGACGUGAAAUCCCUCAGCUUAACUGGGGAACUGCGUCUGAUACUGGAUGGCUUGAGUUUGGGAGAGGGAUGCGGAAUUCCAGGUGUAGCGGUGAAAUGCGUAGAUAUCUGGAGGAACACCGGUGGCGAAGGCGGCAUCCUGGACCAACACUGACACUGAGGAGCGAAAGCCAGGGGAGCAAACGGG